CUCGCGGCAAAGAGUAAAUUCUGCAGUUCUGUGAGCGCGCGGCUUUCUGAAACCGAGACAUCAACUUAACGACGUCGGCAUGGACCGGUGAAAAUUUUGCAGCUUGGUUUAGGAAGACACAGAAUGAGGAGAUUUCUUUUCUGGCAUCUAAUGAAAUUUCAGCUGAACUGCUUCCACUGUUCCGCAGCUCUGCACCUGCUGACCGUCCAGUGACAGAUGUCAUAGUUUUUAUCUUAAGUAAAAUGAGUAAAG